rnacentral:lncRNA from 1 species
CUGCAGCCUGAGUUCCCCGGAGCAAGGCUGCUUCUCUCCACCCACUCCUCACCAAGAACUCCUGAACUUGAGAGUGGACGACUUCAAAGCUAGCUCUCACAGACUCACCUGGAAAAGAGUUCAGCUGCGCGUUCAUUGAACCGAGAGGCCAGAUCACCUAUGUGAGGCGGUGGGAACCAUAUGGAGAUUUAUAUUAGAACUUCAGCAAAGUGCACAGCUGCAGCCGGCAGAAGCCAGCUCUCGGGCUGACAGGCAAAUGAACCAGAUCGUGGACGGGGCCUCUGGGUGGCAGCUCCGGCCUUUUGGUUGUUGGACAACUAUAGUCAGAACUGAAAUGGAACAGGGGCAGGAGAAAUAACACACUUUUACUCCACGCAACUGUUGCUUUCACAUGAUCUUCAGGAAUGUAACUGGGAUAAUUGUCCAAAUUGAAUCCCAUACCCUGUCAUGCAUACCAGAAUAGGAGUCCUGUCUUAACUGAGCAAUAUACACUAUGGAGAGAUCCUUCAAAACCCGUCGGGACGAAUAACAGAUGAAUUCAUAAAACUGUUCAUCUCUGUUAUCCUGAAUGGUCACUCAGACAACAUUUUACUCAACUAUAAAGGGGAACACUUAAAGUGCAUAUGAGAAGAGAAGAGAAUGACCACAGGAGAAAAUCAUCUCAGGCCACGAUUUCCUAACCAGAAUCUGUAAGAGAGAUUCCAAGAACUUGGUAAGAGAUAGGAACACAGUGGGGCCUAAACAGAGGACAGUUUCUGUAAUCACUUGUAAUAUCUAUAAUGUUAUACUAGAUGAAUGGAAAUAUGAGCAUUGUUGAAAGGUGUAAUGUUUCAAAGUUUUACAAAUGAAUUUUAUAUUAAAAUAUAAGCUAUAUUGACAAAA